GAUCGAACGCUGGCGGCAGGCCUAACACAUGCAAGUCGAGCGGAAACGGCAACAUUGACUCUUCGGAUGAUUUGUUGGACGUCGAGCGGCGGACGGGUGAGUAAUGCUUAGGAAUUUGCCCAGUCGAGGGGGAUAACUAUUGGAAACGAUAGCUAAUACCGCAUACGCCCUACGGGGGAAAAGAGGGGACCUUCGGGCCUUCUGCGAUUGGAUAAACCUAAGUGAGAUUAGCUAGUUGGUGAGGUAAUGGCUCACCAAGGCGACGAUCUCUAGCUGGUCUGAGAGGAUGAUCAGCCACACUGGAACUGUGACACGGUCCAGACUCCUACGGGAGGCAGCAGUGGGGAAUAUUGCACAAUGGGCGCAAGCCUGAUGCAGCCAUGCCGCGUGUGUGAAGAAGGCCUUCGGGUUGUAAAGCACUUUCAGCAGUGAGGAAGGUGGUAGUGUUAAUAGCACUAUCAUUUGACGUUAGCUGCAGAAGAAGCACCGGCUAACUCCGUGCCAGCAGCCGCGGUAAUACGGAGGGUGCGAGCGUUAAUCGGAAUUACUGGGCGUAAAGCGCAUGCAGGUGGUUUGUUAAGUCAGAUGUGAAAGCCCUGGGCUCAACCCGGGAAGGUCAUUUGAAACUGGCAAGCUAGAGUACUGUAGAGGGGGGUAGAAUUUCAGGUGUAGCGGUGAAAUGCGUAGAGAUCUGAAGGAAUACCGGUGGCGAAGGCGGCCCCCUGGACAGAUACUGACACUCAGAUGCGAAAGCGUGGGGAGCAAACAGGAUUAGAUACCCUGGUAGUCCACGCCGUAAACGAUGUCUACUUGGAGGUUGUUNCCCUUGAGGAGUGGCUUUCGGANCUAACGCGUUAAGUANACCCCCUGGGGAGUACGGUCNCAGAUUA
rnacentral:rRNA from 1 species